UACAGAGGUCUCAAGCGUUGUUCGGAUUCAUUGGGCGUAAAGGGUGCGUAGGCGGCUUGUCACGUCGGAUGUGAAAGCCCGGGGCUUAACCCCGGGUCUACAUUCGAUACGGGCAGGCUAGAGUGUGGUAGGGGAGAUCGGAAUUCCUGGUGUAGCGGUGAAAUGCGCAGAUAUCAGGAGGAACACCGGUGGCGAAGGCGGAUCUCUGGGCCAUUACUGACGCUGAGGAGCGAAAGCGUGGGGAGCGAACAGG
rnacentral:rRNA from 1 species